AUGCAUUAAGAGUCGGGGGGUGAAAACUUUUUAAUUCAAAUAUCAAGACACAUUUUUUUCUGAAGGCGCCAAGGCGGGGGGAUUGAACGUGAUGCACUCGGUUUGAAUGCUGCAUCCAGCUCUGCAUUUUCGACCCGCCCCUACUCUGCCGCUGACUGGCUCUGACCGACUGUGACAUUUUUCAAGGCCUGUCACUCCACUUGCGCAAACCCAGAGCUCUGCGCAAACCUAACCAACGAAUGCAACGAACACUAGCCAAUCAGAGGCAGGUCUUCGCGGAAUGCGGGUUAUUCUCAUAUCUGAUUGUCUUGGUGUGAUGUGGACCAACACCUAAUUCUUUGGGGAGUUCAUAUUGUUUUGGACAUCGAAGGAGAUGACAUCCAGAGAGACCUGCAGAAUUCCACCAUGGGCGUAAUAUGUCAUCAACAAAGAGGGUGGAGAAAUUGGAGCACAUGAUGACAUUGGCAUUUAUGUUGAAGGAGAAAUCAUUCUGGACAACAUUGGAUCUGUAGCCCAAGCAUGUGCAAUGAUGCUGGGAGUCAUCUAUGUAUUGAACAUGGCUUACCCCAAAGAGCUGAAAUACUCCUAUGAAUUCAUUCAAAAAGUGCUCUUGAAAAUGGAUGGAGAAAGGCUUUCCCCCAAAGUCCUUGGACUAAAGAACAAACUCAUUGCUGGACUGUAGGAUUUCUUCAGCCGCUCUUGUGAACGCCGCUAAGCUGAAUUUUUAAAUCUGGUUUGGGAGGCGAUAGAAAACAUUUAGUGUGAUGUAAAAUGCAGCCCUAGAAGAUGUUUCAAACUGAAAACAAAGUGAGUGGUGGACUGUAAUACAUAGCCACUGGUGUGAACAUUUAAAGUUGUCAUUGGAUUUUGUAGAAUAUUGACCUGAAAUAAAAAUUGCAAUCCUGGAAAUAAGCCAGGUUUCUAUCCACACUCAGCACAAAAUGUAUCCAUCCAUCCAUUAACGCCAUAUGAAUAUUAGAAGUUAAGCGCUUUGAGAUAAACAGUUGGUGACGUCUGCGCCAUUAAGGCAUUGCAUAAGAAGAGGACACAAUGAGAUGACGUCAUUAAAAGAGCUCCAGUCAAAGUUCAAACGAUGGAGAACCAUGUGGAAAACAUGGAAUUAUGACAUUUCUUGUUAGUUUCAUGUAAGAAUGUUACAGCCUCCUCAUUGCUCCACACAGAUGUGAUGUUUUCAUUUGCCACUAUUUUUAUUAUUCUCAGAGGAGCUUAAGCUUCAGUGGACAUUUAAGUCACGUUUCAUUUUAUUCAGUAAGUGUUUCCAUAUUGAUACACCAAUUUUUUCACCUCAGCCAAGCAUAAAAUCUAUUUUGUUAUAUUACAUUCUUUUUUUCCUAUUACAGUAUUUUUUGAAUGUAACUUUGCAGUUUUUUGUAAUUUCAGCAUCAAGUCCUCAGUGUGCACUGUGUUGCAGCUGUGGACAGUUCUUGUACUAUAGUAUUUUUUGUUCUGUAUAGUACUGGUGUAUUUUGUUAUUUGUAUAUGUUGUGCUCUUGCAAAUGGGCUUUCCUCCAAAGUUCUCCUGUGUGUGAUAUAUAUAUAUAUAUAUAUAU